UUUUUUUUUUUUUUUUUUUUUUUUUUUUUGGAGACACAGUUUCACUCUGUCGCCCAGGCCAGAGUGCAGUGGUGUGAUCUCGGGUCACUGCAACCUCCGCCUCCUGGGUUCAAGAGAUUCUCCUGCCUCAGCCUCUGGAGUAGCUGGAAUUACAGGCAUGAGCCACCACACACCCGGCUAAUUUUGUAUUUUUCGUAGAGACAGGGUUUCGCCAUGUUGGCCAGACUGGUCUCGAACUCCUGACCUCAGGUGAUCAACCUGCCUCGGUCUCCAAAAGUGCUGGGAUUUCAGGCAUGAGCCACAGCGCCCAGCCCCGACAUAUCUCUUAAGUACACAUCAGUUUCAGGCAUUCAGGGAUGUUCAGACUCCCCCACUUUCAAGCCCAGGCUCCAUGCUGCUGCUAACGUGAUCUUCAAACCCUGACUGGCCCUCACUGGCCCUUUGCCUAAAAUCUUCAAGUGGUUCCCCAUCAUCUUCAGGAUGAAGUCCAAACUCCCAAGCAUGAUACUCAAGAUGCUAUAACCGGCCCCUCCUACCUGACUUCUUGCCCUUCCCCAAACGUGUCAUCCUCCCUCAUCUUCCUUCAAAAUAUAGAAGCCAGGCAAUAUUUCAGGUGCUUGGCCCACACGAAUGAACCAAACAGAGAUCCUGGCCUGUGUGGACCUCGUAUUCUUAUGGGAGAAGGUGAGAGGUAGGGAGGUGGAUGGUGGAAGAAUGGCUGAGUAAUUGGGUAAAUGGAUGAGAUGUCUGAUGAUAGAUGGAUGGAUGGUGGACAUACAUGGAUGAUUGAUAGGUAAGUAGAUGAUUGGUGAAUGCCUAGACAGAUACAGAGAGGUUGAUAAAUGGAUGACUGACAGGUAGAUAAAUAACGAAUACACAGAUAUGCAGACAGAUGGACAGAGUGUUGUGUGGUUAUAACGGCAGUGGAGACGUAAGUCAGGAUGGGGAACAGGAGGGAUUGUGUAUGAAGAGGUGCCGUAUUUCACAAUUUUACAGAAACAGGAUAAAUGAACCAUACUUCUCACGUUGGGUCUGGCUUCCCCUCCAGAGCAGAGCCUGCAGUCUCUGAGCUGAAGCGUUGGUCUCCUCCACCCACCCUCCCACUCUCAGCCACCCCCCCGCCAUGUGCCUCUCUCCCCCACGCCUUCCUGCCUUUGAAGAGGUGAGGUAAGGUGCACGGGUGAACAGAAAACGCGCCCAAAACCAAGAGAUCACCAUCUCCUGCUACACCCACCUCUCUCAGGCUUUUAUCGAGAGAGAAGAGUGCGAGACAACCACAACCCACCACACUUAUCUCGUAGAGUAGCUGGGAUUGUGAAGAUGGCACAAUCCAAAGGUAAACACAGGGUUUAUCAACCCCGCUGCAGCAUCGUGGAGAGAGAAUGUAGGAAACAGACGCAAUGGUGACUGACGUGGAUCUCCUCUCCCGUGUGGUAACAUGUCAGGCCAAAGCUGGGCUUGCAUCUUCCUGCGAGGAGCGGCCCCGUGUGAUCGUCAGCCAUCGGGCAGCCUCCCUGAAUUUCAGCUUCCUCAUCUAUGAAAUGGAAGGCAGACCCCACUGGCUUCCAUGAGAACUGAAGCUGUAUGAACUCAUGCCUGUGUGCACGUCUGGGUGUGUUGUGUGUUCAGACAGGGCGCCCGCACAGUGGCAUUGACACACGGUGAGGGAAGUGUUCACCGCAGGCUGACAGCACACGGGCACCUCCACAAUCCUGAACUCGACAGGGGCCUCCGAGACACCCACGUGAGUAAGAGAAGGUCUCAAUAUGUGUCAGGGCUUAAGACCUCUGUGAAAUAACGGAGGUUGGAUUUGGGAGCAAAUCCUCCUUGGUUCCAUCCCCACACGUUUUCUGGGUCAAAGCCUCCUUGGAGAAGCAGCAGGGGGCGCCGUGGAGGUGGCACCAGCUUUUCAUUCAGGCUCUCAGCUGUGUCUUUCUCGUUUGCACGGGUGACACUCCCCGAGGCCAUAAAACCUCUCUAGAAAGAAGAGCAGAGCCAGGAGGCCAGGCAGACGGUGACUGAGGAGGAUGCAGAAGUGGCUGAUCACACGAGCCUGUGUGGACCGAGAGAUUCGUUACAGCACGACUUACUCAUAGCCUUUCCUCCACCACGAGCGAGUUCCGAGACUCACAGGCUUUCCUCAACCACCGGGUGAGUUCUGUCAUCCCUUAGACUCCGUUUUUUCUUCUGACACAGGAGACAACAGUCACAACGUCACCUGAUUAUCAUGAGAGCUCCAUGUGACAACAACGUGAGAACGCCGGUGAAGGGCAUUUGAAAAACAAAGGGAUUCACCAAUCGGGUCCAUCACCAGUGACGAACCCCUGCCCUCACCCAUGCCCUGGGAACUACACAAGAAUUCACAGUACUGGUUAUACUCAGGUAACAACAGGGUGGCAAGGAACACAACUAGACGAAACUAAGCCCCCAAAGGAAGGACAUCAUCAUCACAGAUCCAUGAAGAACUGCUCUGAUACCGUGGGAAAAACGGCAUCCCCACAGUUCCCUGAACGGCUCUGAAACCACAGAAAGGACGUCAUCCUCACAGCUCCACGAAGAACUGCUCUGAGUCCACGGGAAGGACGUCAUCCUCACAGCUCCACGAAGAACUGCUCUGAGUCCACGGGAAGGACGUCAUCCUCACAGCUCCACGAAGAACUGCUCUGAGUCCACGGGAAGGACGUCAUCCUCACGGCUCCACGAAGAACUGCUCUGAGACCACAUGAAGGGUGUCAUCCUCACAGCUCCGUGAACGGCUCUGAUACCACAGAAAGGACGUCAUCCUCAUGGCUCCACGAAGAACUGCUCUGAGUCCACGGGAAGGACGUCAUCCUCACGGCUCCACGAAGAACUGCUCUGAGUCCACGUGAAGGGCGUCAUCCUCACGGCUCCACGAAGAACUGCUCUGAGUCCACGGGAAGGGCGUCAUCCUCACGGCUCCACGAAGAACUGCUCUGAGUCCACGGGAAGGGCUCCCACGGCUCCACGAAGAACUGCUUGAGCACAUGAAGGUGUCAUCCUCACAGCUCCGGAACGGCUCUGAUCCACAGAAGGACGUCAUCCUCACGCUCCACGAAGAACUGCUCUGAGUCCACGGGAGUCAUCCUCACGCUCACGAAGAACUGCUCUGAGUCCACGGGAAGGGCGUCAUCCUCACGGCUCCACGAAGAACUGCUCUGAGACCACAUGAAGGGUGUCAUCCUCACAGCUCCGUGAACGGCUCUGAUACCACAGAAAGGACGUCAUCCUCACGGCUCCACGAAGAACUGCUCUGAGUCCACGGGAAGGGCGUCAUCCUCACGGCUCCACGAAGAAUGCUCUGGUCCACGUGAAGGGCGUCUCUCACGGCUCCACGAAGAACUGCUCUGAGUCCGGGAAGGCGUCAUCCUCACGGCUCCACGAAACUGCUCUGAGUCCACGGGAAGGGCGUCAUCCUCACGGCUCCACGAAGAACUGCUCUGAGUCCACGGAAGGCGUCAUCCUCACGCUCCGAAGAACUGCUCUGAGUCCACGGGAAGGGCGUCAUCCUCACGGCUCCACGAAGAACUGCUCUGAGUCCACGGGAAGGGCGUCAUCCUCACGGCUCCACGAAGAACUGCUCUGAGUCCACGGGAAGGGCGUCAUCCUCACGGCUCCACGAAGAACUGCUCUGAGUCCACGGGAAGGGCGUCAUCCUCACGGCUCCACGAAGAACUGCUCUGAGACCACAUGAAGGGUGUCAUCCUCACAGCUCCGUGAACGGCUCUGAUACCACAGAAAGGAUGUCAUCCUACGUCAUCCUCACAGUUCAGUGAAGAACUGCUCUGAGACCACGUGGAGGAUGUCAUCGUCACAGUCCCGUGAAGAACUGCUCUGAGACUGAGCACCAAUCACUAACAGAUGCUUCUUCAGAAAUGGAUCAGUAAUAUUUGAUUGAAAGUAAACUAGAAAUAAAGUUUUAAGUUAACAAAA
rnacentral:lncRNA from 1 species